CCUUAUUUUAUUAUUAGAGGCUUACCAUUAAAAUUUAAUGUCUCAAAAAAAACGAUUUUGCGAGUACUUUUGUAUUCUGUGGCGUCAUACCCCAAGGCGUUUUGGGGGGCAGGCUCUCUGCCCUCCCUCGCGCCCCAGGGAGAGCGGGCGGGCGAGUUCAUUUUUACGAGACAUCGCUUUGUUCUCUGAUGCUGAAAGCCAGUCGCUAAUGGGAGGCUUGCUAGCCGCCGUCAAGGCCAGGGCCAAUGGGCUUGGGCUUGUAUGGCAGAGUGUACGGGAAAAGGAAAAAAGGAACAUUGGUGUGUGUGUGUCGUGCUCAGGGGUAACCAGGGUGAAGCGCAAACACUCACAAGCUUAUAGUUAGGGCUUAAGGUGAUGAGUGAUGUUAAGACCGAGUGGGCAGGUUGUGUUAACCCCGUGUUAGUGGAAACACUUGCUAUGAUUUCUUCCCGUGUUGGUGCUACUUAUUAUCAUUUUUGCAUGUUAGUUUAAAAUGUUAGCUUCUCCAGUGUUUGCAGAGUUUAACAAGUAACUAGAUUAUAAGCUCUAAAGUGUUCUAAGUGUCGGAAUUUUGUCUCAAAUGGUUGGACCCUCUAGACCCUUUGUUCACCAUAAGAAUCUCUUAACCUAUAUGUAAGUAAUGUCAAGAAAAGUCACGCUGCCCUUAUUGGUUGGCAGAUGCUAAUCGUGUGUAUGAUAAAAUGCCUUAUAAGGUAUGGUGAAUAAACUACUAUAUUGUGUCUCUGGUGUAAAUGAUCAACACUUAAUUCUACUUUGAGGUACAAUGAACCUAAAUAAUUAAUGAGUCCCAUGCAUGUACGGCACGACACACACACACACACACACACUAAACUGUUCCUCCUACGCAGACCCCCUCUGGCUCCACUUUUCCUCCCUUUUCACUUCCUAAGACACGUCUGUGCCUUUCACUACUAAGUGCUUCAAGGUGAUCAGCCUCCUAUUAAAUUGGAGACACGAAUGGGUGAGCCCUGCCCGCGGUGCCUCACACACCAAAACACUUCCUGCCUCACUGCAUAAGAUUCCACGCCCUCCACACCAGCCUCAGAGGCGGCGACACCCUCAGCUCCAACACUGCCCUCCAAGCCCUCAGGUGUACACAGACCUUCCUGAAGGAGUCGGGGCAACUCAACAGGACCUAAUCCCUCCCUGGUGGCAGAACAACAAAACUAACAACAUCCACUAGCAUUUAAUACUGAUGGGGUUCUGGAGGCCAUGGUCCCACAACCUAACCAGCCAGAAGAACACAACACAGCGAGUAUUCCCUUGCCGUGGCCACCCCCCUGGGUGGAAGGUGACACGCCCCUGCACCAAGCAUGCCGGCCAGGGGCUGCAGGGCUGGCCAGCAGCAGGAGCAGAAUGGCAGGUGGAGGAAGGCGGGACUCGCUGAUCAAAAGCAGCCUGUCGCUGCUACUUCCAGCCACAGCCACAGAGAAAGAGGGAAGUUUGAGUGUCUGGAGUGUGGAAGUGUUCCUCUACCAGAGCGGCCUCUACUACCACACCAGCACACACAUGGGUGCAAGGAAACAUGAAUGUAAGGAUUGUGGAAAAAAAUUCAUCCAGAAGAGUGACCUCAACAAACACAUCCUCACACACACUGCUGUGAAAAACUAUGAAUGCCAUGAAUGUGGGGAAAAAUUCCUUGUUAAGUAUAGCCUCACCAGACACACCCUCAUGCACAAGGGUGAAAGUAUGAAUGUAACGAAUGUGGGAAAAAAUUCACGAAGAGUCACCUCACCAACCACGUCCUUAUACACAAGGGUGUGAAAAACCAUGAAUGUAACGAAUGUGGAAAAAAAUAUUUUGACAAGAGUCGCCUUAACAGACACAUCAUGCUCGAAUACACUGAUGGAAGAAAGCUUGAUUGCCAAGAAUGUGGAACAAUAUUCAGUAACAAGAAUGAUCUCACCAAACACACCCUCACACACCCUGGCAUAAGAGUCAAUGAAUGUCAACAAUGUAGGAGAAAAUUCAGUCAGGAGGAUGACUUCACCAAACACACCCUUCAACACGAUGCAGGAAAACAUCAGUGCCAAGAAUGUGGAAAAAAAUUCACAUUUAAGAGUGGUCUUACCAGACAUGCCCAUACACAUGCUGUUUGAGAAACUAUGAAUGCAAAGAAUGUGGAAAAACUUUCAUUACAGAGAAUUACCUCACCAUCCACACCUUUAUACACAUUGGCAUCAGAAUCUAUGAAUGCAAAGAAUGUGGAAAGAAAUUCAAAAUGAAACAUCACCUUGUAACACACACACUUACACACACUGGUGAAAAACGUCAUGAGUGUGAAGAGUGUGGUAAAAGAUUCGGUGUAAAGGCGAAAUAUAAUGAACAUGUCUUCAGGCACUACGACAUUAGAGAGUUUAAGUGUGAUAUUUUUAAGAAGCUUUUCAAAACAAAGUCUGAUGUUGCCAGUCAUAUGAAGACCCAUUUUCGAGGUGUGUCUACCUGUGCUAACUAGAAAGAUAAAGAAGAAAGAAACUCUGCCUAUGAAGUGAUAUGUCCAAGUUGAGCUGAUAAUUAAAUGUAAUGUUUGGAAAAGUUACCCAUUGCGAAGGGGUCAUUGGUGGUAGGGUGGUCAAGCCUAGACAACUGAUCAGAGGAUCAACAAGUAACUUUGGUUCGGAUUGAUUAACUCUAGCAUGUACCUGGCUCCUUCACAGUGAUGUACUGCCCCCCUCCCUUGGUGUACAUCCCCAGUCAUCACUGAAUUACAACAAUCAUGCAAGGAGGGCUGUUUUACAGGAAAAAUGGAGGAAAAGAGAUGUAUUUGAUGGAAGGAACUUAAAUACUGUCACAAAGGCAAUACUUGCUUCUAACAGGUCAACUCAACUCUUCCUCACCUUGUUGGCAGUUUGUUGGUCUGUGCCACCCUCACCCCCUCCUCCCUCCAUGCAGAGGAAGGACCAAGAGAAGCAAACAAACCUGUGAAGUGAGAUAAGGCAACAGAGGUGACAACAAGAAGGUUGUUGCUGUUGUUGUUGCACAUUUUGUCAGUGGCAAAACGUACUCAUCUGUGCCUCCCUCGCCCACUGUUACUGCUGUGACACACUCAGAGUGGCCAUGGUAGUGCAGUUUCCUGACAUUUUUUGUAUGUGGAAGAGCACCAAGUCAAAGGCAACACUGUAGUCAUCUACAACAAAGCAACUCUCAACCAAAAUCAAGAUAAAGGCCAAGACUGUCGUCCAGCUCUUUCAACCUCAUGGCUUCUAACAAGACCCCUACUAUUUCUGGCAAGUGUAGUCAUGUGGUGCAGCCUUAGUGCCAAGACACACAUCAUUAGAAGCCAUGAUGAUGGAAAGGGUUGAACAAGAUGGUCUGAGAAAUGAAGAUCUCACAUUCAACCAUCUCCACCAUCAUCCAGAGCAAUGCAAGGUACAAGGAACUGGCUGCUACUGCUGUGACUCCUAGGUCUAGAAUGUAACCUAAUUCUUAUGAAUCUGAUGGAAAUAAAUGCUAAAACAUUCAA